CAGCAGCCGCGGGAAAACGAAGGGGGCUAGUGUUGUUCGGAAUUACUGGGCGUAAAGCGCACGUAGGCGGACAUUUAAGUCAGGGGUGAAAUCCCGGGGCUCAACCCCGGAACUGCCUUUGAUACUGGGUGUCUAGAGUAUGGAAGAGGUGAGUGGAAUUCCGAGUGUAGAGGUGAAAUUCGUAGAUAUUCGGAGGAACACCAGUGGCGAAGGCGGCUCACUGGUCCAUUACUGACGCUGAGGUGCGAAAGCGUGGGGAGCAAACAGGAUUAGAUACCCGCGUAGUCCCUGUCUCUUAUAC
rnacentral:rRNA from 1 species